AGUUUGAUCAUGGCUCAGAACGAACGCUGGCGGCGCGUCUUAAACAUGCAAGUCGAACGAUCUGUAGCAAUACAGGGAGUGGCGGACGGGUGAGGAACACGUAGGAAUCUACCUUGAAGAGCGGGACAACUUUGGGAAACCGGGGCUAAUACCGCAUAGUACAGAGAUGUUAAAGGGCUAGCAAUAGUCGCUUCGAGAUGAGCCUGCGGUCUAUCAGCUUGUUGGUGAGGUAAUGGCUCACCAAGGCUACGACGGAUAGCCGGUCUGAGAGGAUGAUCGGCCACACUGGCACUGAGACACGGGCCAGACUCCUACGGGAGGCAGCAGUUAAGAAUCUUGCGCAAUGGGGGAAACCCUGACGCAGCGACGCCGCGUGAAGGAUGAAGGCUUUCGGGUUGUAAACUUCGGUAGACUGGGAAGAAGAAAUACGUUCGUUGAGGGCGUAUAGUGACGGUACCAGUCUGAAGCCCCGGCUAAUUACGUG
rnacentral:rRNA from 1 species